rnacentral:rRNA from 1 species
UACGGAGGAUCCAAGCGUUAUCCGGAUUUAUUGGGUUUAAAGGGUGCGUAGGCGGCCUUGUAAGUCAGGGGUGAAAGACGGUAGCUCAACUAUCGCAGUGCCUUUGAUACUGCAGGGCUUGAAUGUACUUGAGGUAGGCGGAAUGUGACAAGUAGCGGUGAAAUGCAUAGAUAUGUCACAGAACACCAAUUGCGAAGGCAGCUUACUAAAGUAUGAUUGACGCUGAGGCACGAAAGCGUGGGGAUCAAACAGG